UAAAUGAAAGCCAAAGUAGAGGCGCCUAUCUGUUAAUUAGGAAAAUGUAGAUUAUCUACUCAUUUAG
rnacentral:tRNA from 1 species